rnacentral:rRNA from 1 species
GCUUGUCUCAAAGAUUAAGCCAUGCACGUCUAAGUAUAAGCGAUUAUACUGUGAAACUGCGAAUGGCUCAUUAUAUCAGUUAUAGUUUAUUUGAUGGUCCUUGCUACUUGGAUAACCGUAGUAAUUCUAGAGCUAAUACAUGCGUCAAUACCCUUCUGGGGUAGUAUUUAUUAGAUUGAAACCAACCGCUUCGGCGUGAUGUGGUGAUUCAUAAUAAAUUUGCGAAUCGCAUGGCUUUACGCCGGCGAUGGAUCAUUCAAGUUUCUGCCCUAUCAGCUUUGGAUGGUAGGGUAUUGGCCUACCAUGGCUUUAACGGGUAACGGAGAAUUAGGGUUCGAUUCCGGAGAGGGAGCCUGAGAAAUGGCUACCACAUCCAAGGAAGGCAGCAGG